CUCCCAGGUUGAGCAGCUCAUCCUAACAAAAGAGACAGGAAGGAUGGACUCUGGUAAUUGCCAUUUCCUGUUAUUUUUGACCCCAAUGAAGUCAUACCCACCAAUCUCAGUGUUAUUUUAACUCAUUGUGCUCACCACUCAACCAAAAAUCCUUCAGUUUUUACAGAUAGAAGAAGGAUUCACUAUUUUUUUUUAUCAUUCCUUUGAGAUUUUGUGUAAUUUUUGUUUGUUUGUUUGUUUUGCUGGAAACACUCUUUCCCCUUUAAUCUUUCCUGGACUGACUGAUACAGUAGAACCUCGGAAGACUUAGAAGCCUCCUUCAAGAAGAGGAGAUGUGAAUUUAAAAUUGAAAAACUCAAGGAGCACUGGGUGUUGAGCACAAAUGAUGAAUCAUGGAGCACUACAUCAGGAACUAAUGAAAUACUACAUGGUGACUAACAUAACAUAAUAAAAAUAAAUAAAUGAAUAAGAAAGACUUAGCAAGCCUUUUUGUCCUAGGUCAUCUGUCUAGUAAAUGUAUAUCAUGGAGCAAG
rnacentral:lncRNA from 1 species